CCCCACCCCUUCUCCUUUUCUCCCCAAAAUUUCGCAGCACACGCAACCUCUCCAUUUUCUUCUUUCCACAAUAUAGUCCUUCCCAUUCUUGGCAGGAGGUAGAGCAGGUGCUAGCGGCCGGGAAGGUGGGGAGGAGGAGGAGGGGAAGCGGCUGCGAGCACGCCACCGGCCCUGGACCUCGAGGGAGGAUUGGCUGGGAGGAGAAGGCGGCGGCGGCGGUUUCAAUCUGUGAUCUGGCACCGGCGCCGCCACAUUGACAGAUGGCAGGAUCUGAGGUCAGCCCUCUCCCGUGCGCCGGCGUCGGUGACAGCCGGGAGCACCACCAAGUCGUGGCAGUCCGCCUCCGGCUUCUCUGAUCAGUGGUUGUCGAGUGAGCACCGGUUUUGUGGCCUUUCAUCGAUAGAUCGUGUUGUUCAUCUUCCUGUGGUGGGCCUUCUGCUUCGUUUGUGGUCAAGAUGAGUUUCUGCUAUAUUUGUCCGUGUGAUUUUGUGUUUUCGGUGUCCUUAGAUUCAUAUGUAUGUUUGUCGAUUCAUGCUCAGUAGGUGUUUGAUGCUAUGCCAUCCAUAUGGUGGCCUGAGAUUUUGAUUUCUUUUGUCAGAAAUCGCACAAAUUAGCUCAUUCUCGACUUCGAUUCGGCGUUCAGUGUGCUGAGUGGAUCGUCUCUGCAGUUCAGUUACUGCGAGUGUUUUCAUGCUGGAGUCUUCUGUUCAGAACCCUGUUCAUGUCAAGGUUGUCUGAAUAAGCCUAGCAACAUGGAGAUAGUGAGAGCAUUUCAUUUUCAUUUGAUGCACUCCAUCCACAUCUUUCAUGUUACAAUUAAAUUCACUCAGUGCAGCACGAAACCUUCUGUAUAUAUUUGCAGUAUCUACAAUCUUUCUUCACUGGCGGCUAGAUAUCUUUUUGGGUGAAUCCACACAUGAUAUAGCUAAUAUCCUGUAUGGAGAAUUAAUUUAGGUCUGUUUUGGUGGCCAACUACUGAUAUGUUUUUAGGGGCUAGAACAAGGCACAUACUAUUUUUUUUCCUUUCGAUUGGGUGAUAUACCCCACAGCUGUAAAGAAAUGAAGUUGCAGUGUCGUACGGCAAAUUAAUUUAGCUUUGUUUCGGUGGCCAACUGCUGACAUCUUAUUAGUGGCUAGAACAAGGCACGUACUGUUUUUUUUUCUUUCGAUUGGAUGAUAUACCCCAUAGCUGUAAAUAAUGAAGUUGCAGUGUAAUGAUAUAUCAUCUUAUUUCUGCA